rnacentral:rRNA from 1 species
GAUGAACGCUGGCGGCGUGCCUAAUACAUGCAAGUCGAGCGAACAGACGAGUUGCUUGCCCCUCGGACGUUAGCCGCGGACGGGAGAGUAACGCGUGGGUAACCUACCUAUAAAUCUGGGAUAACUACGGGAAACCGUAGCUAAUACCGGAUAAGAUAUUAAACCGCAGGGUUCCAUAGUUAAAGACGGCUUUGCUGUCACUUAUAGAUGAGUCCGCGCCGCAUUAGCUAGUUGGUAAGGUAACGGCUUACCAAGGCGACGAUGCGUAGCCGACCUGAGAGGGUGAUCGGCCACACUGGAACUGAGACACGGUCCAGACUCCUACGGGAGGCAGCAGUAGGGAAUCUUGCGCAAUGGGCGAAAGCCUGACGCAGCCACGCCGCGUGAGUGAUGAAGGUCUUCGGGUCGUAAAAUUCUGUUAUUAGGAAAGAACAGCUUUUUACGUAACUAUGCACGUCUUGACGGUACCUUAUCAGAAAGCCCCGGCUAACUACGUG